rnacentral:misc_RNA from 1 species
AUGUGCACACCUUUAUCGCGCAUCCACAUCUCACACCUGUGCACAACCUGUAGCUUGGGAUGAUUACAAUUCUGGAAACGGUAUUGAAAGCCCUUGCUAUGAAUUUUUAAACAACCGUAUUAAAAGUUAUAGAAUGUUAUAGCGUGUAACAGCGCAAAUAAAUAUACAACUUUCAGCAACGGAUCUCUUGGCUCUCGCAUCGAUGAAGAACGCAGCGAAAUGCGAUAAGUAAUGUGAAUUGCAGAAUUCAGUGAAUCAUCGAAUCUUUGAACGCACCUUGCGCUCCUUGGUAUUCUGAGGAGCAUGCCUGUUUGAGUGUCAUGAAGCUCUCAACUGCUUUAGCUUUUUAUGGUUGAAGUGAAGUUGGAUUUGGAGGAAUGAUUAUUGCUGGCGUGACCUUUUCAGGUUGCUUGUUAGCUCCUCUUAAAUGGAUGAACUUUCCAGUAGUAAAAUAACACCAAUGUGAUAAUUAUCUACGUUGGAUGUGCUUUUUACAAGGAAAGAUAUAUCUGUCUUGAAGGCAAACACCUCUUGACGAAACAAAUGACAAAUUUGACCUCAAAUCAGGUAGGACUACCCGCUGAACUUAAGCAUA